AACGCAGGCGGUCUUUUAAGUCUGAUGUGAAAGCCUUCGGCUUAACCGGAGUAGUGCAUUGGAAACUGGAAGACUUGAGUGCAGAAGAGGAGAGUGGAACUCCAUGUGUAGCGGUGAAAUGCGUAGAUAUAUGGAAGAACACCAGUGGCGAAAGCGGCUCUCUGGUCUGUAACUGACGCUGAGGUUCGAAAGCGUGGGUAGCAAACA
rnacentral:rRNA from 1 species